GUUUUUGUAGUGUAGUGGUUAUCACGUUCGCCUAACACGCGAACCGGUCCCCGGUUCGAAACCGGGCAGAAACA